rnacentral:rRNA from 1 species
CCUGGCUCAGGAUGAACGCUAGCGGCAGGCUUAACACAUGCAAGUCGAGGGGCAGCGCGGGGCGGCAACGUCCUGGCGGCGACCGGCGGAAGGGUGCGUAACGCGUGAGCGACAUGCCCGUUGCCCGGGGACAACCGGUGGAAACGCCGACUAAUCCCCGAUGGGACGGAGGCCCUCAUGGGUCUCUGUUGAAAGUUACGGCGGCGACGGAUUGGCUCGCGUCCGAUUAGCUUGUUGGCGGGGUAACGGCCCACCAAGGCUACGAUCGGUAGGGGUUCUGAGAGGAAGGUCCCCCACAAUGGAACUGAGACACGGUCCAUACUCCUACGGGAGGCAGCAGUGAGGAAUAUUGGUCAAUGGGCGGAAGCCUGAACCAGCCAUGCCGCGUGCGGGAAGGAGGCCCUAUGGGCUGUGAACCGCUUUUGCCUGGGGGCAAUAAGGGCGUCGUGCACGUCCGAUGAGAGUACCAGGCGAAUAAGCAUCGGCUAACUCCGUGCCAGCAGCCGCGGUAAUACGGGGGAUGCGAGCGUUAUCCGGAUUCAUUGGGUUUAAAGGGUGCGUAGGCUGUGCGUCAAGUCAGGGGUGAAAUUCCGGGGCUCAACUCCGGGGCUGCCCUUGAUACUGUCGCGCUGGAGUGCGGAUGCCGCCGGAGGAAUGAGUGGUGUAGCGGUGAAAUGCUUAGAUAUCACUCAGAACACCGAUUGCGAAGGCAUCUGGCGAAUCCGUAACUGACGCUGAGGCACGAAAGCGUGGGGAUAGAACAGGAUUAGAUACCCUGGUAUUCCACGCCGUAAACGAUGAUGGCUAACCGCCGGCGACACACUGUCGGUGGCCAAGGGAAAGCGAUAAGCCAUCCACCUGGGGAGUACGUCGU